GCCCGUUUAGCAUAGUCGUUAUUGCGCGGCACUUGUACUCUCUCAUCGAGUUCAUGCCGAGGUCGCUAGUUCAAAUCUGGCAACGGGCA